GCGCGUGAGAGAGCGUGGCAUUAAGAAAAAAAUUACAGCCAAAUGUAGAGGUAACACGCGUAAUAGCAGUACAUUUGGCAAAUGCAUUGCCUACUCCACGUACUCCAGCUCGAUUUGCAUAAGAGACGUAUGUGUAUUUGCCUUGCGGAAUUGUCGUCGGUCGAUUUAAUAUUUCACACCGGAGAAAAGUGUAUAUUCUCGGUCCCCCAGUUUAUUUAUUUCGCCUUGGCUUAUCGUCCCGACGACAUUCGAGAUUUUUCGUCGCUCUCGGCGAAACAGAAUUUCUCACGACCGAUGUAUUUAUUUGAUUUAAUAUCCGAGAAAGCAGAGUUGCGAAUUAGAGCGAACACAAACGUCAUAUGAAGACGACAAAUAUUAUUUUCAGUGUUAACGAACCCUCCGCGUGUCUCUCCGCUUUUGUUAUAAAUUAACUGAGAUCCCUAAGGAUCUCCAAACUGAAGGAGAUCCCAUCUGUGGAUUCCACUCACCCUUUCCAUUCGUUUCGUCGGUGUCAGAUCCUUCCGGCGACCAAUAACGAGGAUUUCGUGCAAGGAG